AUUGAACGCUGGCGGCAUGCCUCACACAUGCAAGUCGAACGGCAGCACGGGGCAACCUGGUGGCGAGUGGCGAACGGGUGAGUAAUGCAUCGGAACGUACCUUUCAGUGGGGGAUAACGUAGCGAAAGUUACGCUAAUACCGCAUAUUCUGUGAGCAGGAAAGCAGGGGAUCGCAAGACCUUGCGCUGAUUGAGCGGCCGAUGUCAGAUUAGCUAGUUGGUGAGGUAAAGGCUCACCAAGGCGACGAUCUGUAGCGGGUCUGAGAGGAUGAUCCGCCACACAGGAACUGAGACACGGUCCAGACUCCUACGGGAGGCAGCAGUGGGGAAUUUUGGACAAUGGGGGCAACCCUGAUCCAGCCACGCCGCGUGAGUGAAGAAGGCCUUCGGGUUGUAAAGCUCUUUCGGCCGGGAAGAAAUCGCACGGGCUAAUACCCUGUGUGGAUGACGGUACCGGAAUAAGAAGCACCGGCUAACUACGUGCCAGCCGCCGCGGUAAAAC
rnacentral:rRNA from 1 species